rnacentral:lncRNA from 1 species
AUCUAUUGAUUGUCUUUCAUUAAUCACUUCUCCCCUUUUACUCCCUUCCAGCAUUUCUAGAAGAGAAACUUAUGAUAUCUUCAUGGAAAGUUAUAUCAGACAGACAGAAGAGGAACUCUUAACGAAAGACCCGACAAUGGCAUUAAAGAGGAAAUGUGAGAGCUUAUUGAAGAAUAAAGACCUGCCGGAAUUUUUAAUAGUGAAAAGAGUGAGUAACCCAGCCUGCCCUAAACUAUUUGGCUACGCUAAGACUCAUAAGUAUCCCUUGAAGUUCCAUCCAAUUGUGAAGUGUCGGUUGCCCACGUACAACUUAGAGAAAGCUAUGGCCAAAUGGAUUAAUUUCCACUUAGCAGGCUACUAGUAUGUAGUAAACUCGACGACAGAAUUCA